UGGUGGAGUGAUUUGUCUGGUUAAUUCCGUUAACGAACGAGACCUCAGCCUACUAAAUAGUAUAUUGAUAAGAAAUUAUUGAUAAGACUUCUUAGAGGGACAGAAUCGGUUUACGAUUUGGAAGUUUGAGGCAAUAACA
rnacentral:rRNA from 1 species